GACGAACGCUGGCGGCGUGCUUAACACAUGCAAGUCGAGCGGUAAGGCCCUUUCGGGGGUACACGAGCGGCGAACGGGUGAGUAACACGUGGGUGACCUGCCCUCAGCUCUGGGAUAAGCCCGGGAAACUGGGUCUAAUACUGGAUAUUACUCUGCGGUGCAUGCCGUGGGGUGAAAGCCUUGUGCGGCUGGGGAUGGGCCCGCGGCCUAUCAGCUUGUUGGUGGGGUGAUGGCCACCAAGGCGACGACGGGUAGCCGGCCUGAGAGGGCGACCGGCCACACUGGGACUGAGACACGGCCCAGACUCC
rnacentral:rRNA from 1 species